GGCCGGAAGUGACGGGGCCGGGCCGGGCCGAUUCACCUGCUGGGCGGUGCGCGGGGCGCAGCCCGGGCACGGAGCCGCCGCCGCUGGGUGCCCGCCGCGCCAUGGAGCCGCCGCUGCCGCUGCUCGGCGUGUCCCUCGUGCUGCUCUGCUCCGCAGGUCUGACAAGAAGCCUAACUAUAACUUCAGUUGACCCAUCAAUGUUUGAAAAAGCACAAGGAGAGAAAGUUACAUUGCCAUGUACUUUUGAACUCUCGGAAGAAGAUGAAGGACCACUAGAUAUUGAGUGGGUAUUGAUACCAGCAGACAACCAAAAGAAGGAACAAAUAAUAAUUAUGUAUGCUGUAGACAGGGUUUAUAAUCAUUAUUAUGCUGGUUUGACUGGGCGAAUGCAGUUUACUAAUCUUGAUCCCAGAUCUGGUGAUGGUUCAUUGGAUAUUCUGAAUUUAAAGGCAUCAGACACUGGCACAUAUCAGUGCAAAGUGAAGAAGGCUCCUGGAGUUCAAAGCAAAAAAAUACAGUUGACUGUACUUGUAAAGCCAGCACGGACUAAAUGUUCCAUUGAAGGAUCACAGGAGAUUGGAAAAGACGUUACCUUGAAAUGUGUGUCACAAGAAGGAUCCCCACUUUUGUCUUACGACUGGAAAAGAGUAUCUGGCACGCAGAAUCUUCCUGCCACUUCCGUGCUGAAUAAAAAUACAGGGGAACUUCUUCUGAAAAACGCCUCUCGAGAGUAUUCUGGUAGAUACAACUGUGUGGCCACAAACAGAGUUGGCACGGAUGAAUGUUCUGUUGAGCUGAAUGUCACCCCUCCCGUAAAUACAGCUGGUAUAAUUACUGGAGCUAUUAUAGGAACUCUGCUGGGUCUCUCUGUACUGUGUUCUAUCAUCUUCUGUUUUUGUAAGAAGCACAGAGAGAAGAAAUACGAGAAAGAAGUACAUCAUGAUAUCAGAGAAGAUGUUCCACCUCCAAAGAGUCGCAGUUCUACAGCUCGCAGCUACAUCGGCAGCAAUCGUUCUUCCCUGGGCUCAAUGUCUCCCUCCAACAUGGAAGGAUUUACCAAAACUCCAUAUAGCCAAGUCCCAAGUGAAGACUUUGAACGUGCUCCUACUCAAAACCCAGCCUUUGCACCUUCAAAGGUAGCUGCACCUAAUUUAAGUAGAAUGGGAGCUGUUCCUGUGAUGAUUCCAGCACAAAGCAAAGAUGGGUCGAUAGUAUAAAAUAUUAUUAAUUUAAAAGCUGUUUUUUUAAAGUGUUCAUUGUAAGUAUUAGAGAAAAAUACUGUGUUCCAUCCCUCAUUUAAACACUGGCAUGAAAUUUUCCUUGAAGAGAAUAUACAAAUGAGUUUGAAAAGCCACCAAUUCUCAUGUUUAAUUUUAAACUUAUUUGCAUAUGAUAGUUGAACUAUUUGCUAAAAACGUUGAACUUCAUAAAUAAAUAUCGGACACUGAAGGUAUUUUGACCUCUGGUAGGUUGCUGAGGAGGUUCUGACACUGUCAGCUAAUGUACAGUUCUGAAUGUGUAACAGUGAGACACAGGUGAGAAGUAACAAAAGCAUUUCAUGUGUAGACCAUGAAGUUUCUCAGAGUUCCUGAGAUUUUAUUCUCAGUUGUGGAAUAACAAAAAUAUUUUAACUUGGCCACUGUCUGGUAUAGUUGCAGGGGGCUGAAAAUACCAAGGAUGACUUUGAAUUCUGUUCAAAUUGAGUAUUUAUGUGGUUCUUUAACCUGGUGAUGUUUGUUUGGAGUACUUGAGCUCUUAUUUCAGGGGCAGACAGUCAUUUGAUUGGUUCAAUUUAUUUAAUUAAUCUGUUCUGAAUUUAAAAGGGCAAUGAGUGGAAGUGUGACAGAAAACCUUGCAAGUUCUUUGAAACACAAAUUUUUUUACAAUAACUAGUUCUGGUCCUGUCAGAUAACUUAAUACUUAUGUUAUCUGAUGCAAGAGGUCCUAUCAGAUUGUUGAUAGAAGUAUCUAAGCUCUAAAACCUACAGACCAACUCUUACUGUCACAGUAAGAAUGAGUUAAUGCAUCUUUACACAGGUCUUGAAGUUAGUUGUACCUUGCAUUUUCCAAUGCCUGGUUAGAUACUGAGGCAGUGCUCUUAGUUUUUUCCCAAAGCAAUUUCCUAGAAGCUCUGUGGGGAUUUGAUGAGACCUCUUAAGUAACUGGUAUUUGAUGUCUGUCCUCUUGCUCUAACCACAGUGGAAGCAACUUUUCUCAUAUGCCCCUAAGCAGUAGUCAGUCCUUGUUCAAGAUGUUAAUGUCUGGCUGUAUGAAUCUGCAAGGAGAGAAAGCUCAUUUUUUCUUGCCUCUUUAACAACCCUAAAUAUUCUGAACCAAUGUUCAGACUGUGGAGGGCAAGCAUUUCAUGUAACUGAGAGAAAACAAUUACCCAGAAUUGUUGAUACAAAUCUCAUGUUGCAAGAUUGAAAACACUUCUUCCCAAUUUUGCAAACUUAAAGCAAUACAGGAGAAACACAACAAUUCCUUGUCUUACUUUCACAUGUAUUUAAGGACUUCUGGUAGCUUCUGAUGACUGUUAUAUACCUGCAAAAGCUCAAUUUAAAACUCUGUACAGUUUGAAUCUGUGAAUUCUUUCUUCCUUCCUGUUUUCUACCUUCUUUGUCUUGUGCUGGGGAGCAGGUCGGGGAGAGUUUGUAGCUUACUCUAGCUAGAGAUGUUGAACUGCAAGGUAUUUUGGAAAACUAAAUUCAUUACAGUAUGUGCACUGAUGUUGAUGAAGGAGAUAUCUGAAUAGCCUGUUGAAAGAUGUUAGGAUUAUUUGUGUGUAGCAACAGUGAGAGAAAACAACAUUAACCCAGACCUCUAAGUUUAUUAUCUGCUUAUCUGUAGCUGCCUAUACAUACAUCUGUGAUGAAUUCUUUGGCUUACUACUAAAUGUUUGUCCUAUCUGUAAAUAGGUGCACAAUUUUUGGCUGGCACUAUUAAUGUAAAGAAAUUCCCCUGCCCAUGGCAGUGGUUGGUACAAGGUCAUCUUUAAGCUCCUUAUAACCCAAACAAUUUCAUGAUUUUAACAUGCCCUUCAUACUGAAUUUAGAAACUUGAAUGGCUAUUAAGUAAUAUAGAGUUAGUUUUACACAUUUGGAACUUUUUUAGAUUGUAAACUGAUACUGUUAGAGAUCAGAUUUUUUAUCUUUCAUGUGUGCCUUGUCAAUAAAAUUUGCCUGAUUGUAACUUCAGUUUUUAUUAAAUUUCUGGUGCCUAAACAUACUGUAUGAACAGGUGCUUAGAUGAUGGUACAGUUCUUAAAACAAAAACUUGUGAUCUGAUUUCUUGAUUCUUAUGUACUAUUUAUACCUCUUCAUGCCUAUUUUUGGAUGUGAACUUCAGUGUCUCUCUCUCUGUAUUGUUCUGUAUUUCAAAAUGUCACUUAACUCCUUCAAUUGCUAAUUAUGAUUUGAGUGUUUGUGUUCCUGUGUAAGCUCUUCAGUUGUUGUACCAAUGAGAGAGAUGAUUGAAAUGCAUUUAUGUGGUGAAUAAUAGGCUUAGUAAGUGUGCCAAACAUAGCUUCUGAAGAACUAUAGAUGAGGAGACAUGUUUUUGCAUCCAAUUAUUGUGAUAGAAGAGACUUCCAAGAUGUUAAUCAUACACUGAUUGUUUACCUUGAAACUAAGGCCUUUCUUAAUGAAAAGGGUGUAGUUACUACAAAUACAAGUUGAGUGCAAGACUAAAGUGAAUCACAGACUGAGAGAGAGCUAUAAACCUAAGGAACCAGGCAGCAAACCUACUAAAUUUGGUUCUAAGCCUUCUGUGGACCUAUGUGUUUUUUGGUGGUUUGAGGGAUUUUUUAAAUUAAUUUUUGGUUUGGUUUGGUCUUGGUUUGGC